CGAUUAAUUAAGCCCUUGAACUAUAAUUACUUGUACGUUUUAUCUGAUCCUUUGGAAGUCCAAAGUUGUGCUCCUUUAGUAUAUUCAGUAUCUUAUUUCCUUUCAUCUUCCAACACUUAUUGUGCUAUCUCUUGAAAUGCUAUAUGUAUAAUUUAACGCUCAAAAAGGUUCUUAUCUUAAAAAGUUAUUGUCCGACCUUUGCAUUAUUUCAUUCGAAACAUGGAGAAUUUAAAGAGUUGCAAUUUAUUUAGUCAUUAAAAUAAAAGAGUCAGGCUUUAGCAGAAUUCUCCUUUCAUGUGGUGAUAAAGCAGCACGAGGAUACUCUUGAUUGCCGAUAAUACUCUGACUUCUUGACAAGGUCUACAACAAUGAUAUCUUAUCAGUUUAUGGAGAGGAGCGAGUUUAGAUGUGCUUUAGGAGAAAAUAUUAUUAUUUCCUAAUAUUUUGUUUAUUAGAACUUGAUAUUUUGUAAAGAUGUUCAUCCCGGAGAAUUCGCCAUAAAUUUCCCGAAAACUAUAUCAUGAAAGUUUUUGGUCAA